UACGUAGGGUGCGAGCGUUGUCCGGAAUUAUUGGGCGUAAAGAGCUCGUAGGCGGUUUGUCGCGUCUGCUGUGAAAACUCGGGGCUUAACUCCGGGCCUGCAGUGGGUACGGGCAGACUAGAGUGCGGUAGGGGAGACUGGAAUUCCUGGUGUAGCGGUGAAAUGCGCAGAUAUCAGGAGGAACACCGAUGGCGAAGGCAGCUCGCUGGGACGGUACUGACGCUGAGGCGCGAAAGCGUGGGGAGCAAACAGG
rnacentral:rRNA from 1 species